rnacentral:SRP_RNA from 1 species
CCGUGGGUCCCGUGCGAUACAGGCCCAUGAACCCCGUCAGGUCCGGAAGGAAGCAGCGGUAAGUGGUCACCCGUAGGUGCCGCGGGAGAGCCUGCGCCGG